UAUGAUAUAUUAUCAAUACUCUUUCUUUUUUUUUUUUUGAUUCUCUAUAAGAUUCUGUUGCAUUUCUGUCCAAAAUAUGACCCAAAGUUUAAAAAAGUAAUGCAGAUAUAUUCCAAAUAAUAUUCCCCUUUCUUCUGCACAUUCAGAGCCACAUGUCUAGAAAUGCUUUUUUGUGUUUCUAAAUAAAUUGUCAUUGGACCAAGGGCAUGAUGCAAUACACGGUGAGCAAAAUACAAUAGAGAUACAAAGAAAGUGUAAUUUUCCUGCUUGGAUUUAAUAUACACCCACCUUGGCUUAUUAUUUUGUUAUUAUUUGUAUUUACUCAGUGGCCUACUUGUACAUACAAAAGUUAUGUCAUCCUCAAUGAUUGUAAUAGGACUACUACUAUGCGUAUAUGUAGCUAAAAAUGGAUUUUGUGACUCAUUUGUUUUAAGCAGAAAUGUGGUCUGCUGUGUUUUGAAAGCUGUUCUUGUUUAUUCAUAUUUGUAAAGUUACUGCAAUGCAAUAGUGCAUUAUCUGUCAAAUCUACUUGAUUUUGAUCAAUUAAAAUAUCUUUAAAUG
rnacentral:misc_RNA from 1 species